rnacentral:rRNA from 1 species
GAUGAACGCUAGCGAUAGGCCUAACACAUGCAAGUCGAGGGGCAUCACAUGAAGCAGCAAUGCGGAUGGUGGCGACCGGCGCACGGGUGAGUAACGCGUAUGCAAUCUACCUACAACAGGGGAAUAACCCGUUGAAAGACGGACUAAUGCCCCAUAAUACAGGGGUCCCGCAUGGGAAUAUUUGUUAAAGAUUUAUCGGUUGUAGAUGAGCAUGCGUUCCAUUAGCUGGUUGGUGAGGUAACGGCCCACCAAGGCAACGAUGGAUAGGGGAACUGAGAGGUUUAUCCCCCACACUGGUACUGAGACACGGACCAGACUCCUACGGGAGGCAGCAGUGAGGAAUAUUGGUCAAUGGACGCAAGUCUGAACCAGCCACGUCGCGUGAAGGAAGACGGCCCUACGGGUUGUAAACUUCUUUUGUAAGGGAAUAAAGUGUAGUACGCGUACUAUUUUGCAUGUACCUUACGAAUAAGGAUCGGCUAACUCCGUGCCAGCAGCCGCGGUAAACACG